ensembl:snRNA U6 U6 spliceosomal RNA
AUGCUUUGGCAGCACGUAUGCUAAAAUUAGAACAAUACAGAGAAGAUAGCAUGGCUCUUAUGCAACAAUGACAUGCAAAUUUGUGAAGCAUUCCAUAUUUUU